rnacentral:pre_miRNA from 1 species
AUACUACUCCCUCCGUCCCGAAUUACUUGUCGCAGAAAUGGAUGUAUCUAGAACUAAAAAAUGUCUAGAUACAUCCAUUUCUACGACAAGUAAUUCCGAACGGAGGGAGUACUAU